rnacentral:rRNA from 1 species
UACAGAGGUCUCAAGCGUUGUUCGGAUUCAUUGGGCGUAAAGGGUGCGUAGGCGGCGCGGUAAGUCGGGUGUGAAAUCUCGGAGCUUAACCCCGAAACUGCAUUCGAUACUGCCGUGCUUGAGGACUGGAGAGGAGACUGGAAUUUACGGUGUAGCAGUGAAAUGCGUAGAUAUCGUAAGGAAGACCAGUGGCGAAGGCGGGUCUCUGGACAGUUCCUGACGCUGAGGCACGAAGGCCAGGGGAGCAAACGGG